rnacentral:other from 1 species
ACCGGCCUGCGAAGCAGGUGUGGGGAAUACCGCUGGUUGAACCAACAUUCAUUGAACAGGGACCUAGCUCGUAGAUAUGGCUCGGUGUGCUAAGUCCGCCAGUCCGGAAAGCCUAAAGAGCCACGGCAGGGUCCCGCCGUCUUAGGACGGGUUCACCAGCGCCUCACUGCACGGCCAAGCGGGUCGGUU